rnacentral:rRNA from 1 species
UACGUAGGCAGCAAGCGUUGUUCGGAGUUACUGGGCGUAAAGGGUGCGUAGGCGGUCCUAUAAGUAUGGUGUGAAAUCUCCCGGCUUAACUGGGAGGGUGCAUUAGAAACUGGAAUGCUAGAGGAUGGGAGAGGUAAGCGGAAUUCCUGGUGUAGCGGUGAAAUGCGUAGAUAUCAGGAGGAACACCUGUGGUGUAGACAGCUUACUGGACCAUUUCUGACGCUGAGACACGAAAGCGUGGGUAGCAAACAGG